rnacentral:rRNA from 1 species
UACGUAGGAGGCAAGCGUUGUCCGGAAUUACUGGGCGUAAAGGGCGCGUAGGCGGCCUACUAAGUCGGACGUGAAAUCCCUCGGCUCAACCGGGGAACUGCGUCCGAUACUGGUGGGCUCGAAUCCGGGAGAGGGAUGUGGAAUUCCUGGUGUAGCGGUGGAAUGCGCAGAUAUCAGGAGGAACACCGAUGGCGAAGGCAGUUCUCUGGGCCGUAACUGACGCUGAGGAGCGAAAGCCAGGGGAGCAAACGGG